rnacentral:tRNA from 1 species
GCCCGGAUGGCGGAAUUGGUAGACGCGCUGGAUUCAAAAUCCAGUUCCUGCAAGGGAGUGAGGGUUCGACCCCCUCUCCGGGCACCA